rnacentral:rRNA from 1 species
UUGAACGCUGGCGGCAUGCCUUACACAUGCAAGUCGAACGGCAGCACGGGUGCUUGCACCUGGUGGCGAGUGGCGAACGGGUGAGUAAUACAUCGGAACAUGUCCUGUAGUGGGGGAUAGCCCGGCGAAAGCCGGAUUAAUACCGCAUACGAUCUACGGUUGAAAGCGGGGGACCUUCGGGCCUCGCGCUAUAGGGUUGGCCGAUGGCUGAUUAGCUAGUUGGUGGGGUAAAGGCCUACCAAGGCGACGAUCAGUAGCUGGUCUGAGAGGACGACCAGCCACACUGGGACUGAGACACGGCCCAGACUCCUACGGGAGGCAGCAGUGGGGAAUUUUGGACAAUGGGCGAAAGCCUGAUCCAGCAAUGCCGCGUGUGUGAAGAAGGCCUUCGGGUUGUAAAGCACUUUUGUCCGGAAAGAAAUCCUUGGCCCUAAUACGGUCGGGGGGAUGACGGUACCGGAAGAAUAAGCACCGGCUAACUACGUG